rnacentral:rRNA from 1 species
UCAGUCAGCGCAGCGUAAUAACAGAAACUAACCAGGAUUCCCUUAGUAACGGCGAGUGAACUGGGAUACCAAUAUAUUUAUGCGUCUCUGGCGCAUAUUUUUAGCCCGUCGAUACUAUCCUAGCAUAUUACCGGUUUCGGCCGGUAGCCCAAUACGCGGGAAUUGUAGCAUCGUAAUAAAGUAUACACCAUGCCUGCGUCGCAAACGUAUAUACACGCAUACUCACACACACAUACUCGUACGCGUACACACCCCUUGCAAACACACAGCGCUCCCGCGCUGGAAAGCAAGUCUAUAUCCUCUUUGGAUAUGCCAUAGAGUGUGACAGCCACGUUUGAAACACCCUUACGUACCGUACACACACAUACGUAAAAAUACGCGCUGCUUCGCAUACGCAUACCGUAUAUAACCUGAGUCGAGUUAUUUGGGACUAUAGCUCUAAUAGUUUGGUUGGUGGUAAUGACACAUCAAAGGCUAAAUAUUGGUUAGUCGAUGCAUUUUACGGAGACCGAUAGCAUACAAGUACCGUAAGGGAACGAUGAAAAGCACCCUAUUAAGUUCACGGUGUCGGCCGCGUACAAUUCGUUGUACAACGCC